UACGUAGGGCGCAAGCGUUAUCCGGAAUUAUUGGGCGUAAAGCGCACGUAGGCGGCUUUGUAAGUAAGAGGUGAAAGCCCGGAGCUCAACUCCGGAAUUGCCUUUAAGACUGCAUCGCUAGAAUCAUGGAGAGGUGAGUGGAAUUCCGAGUGUAGAGGUGAAAUUCGUAGAUAUUCGGAAGAACACCAGUGGCGAAGGCGACUCACUGGACAUGUAUUGACGCUGAGGUGCGAAAGCGUGGGGAGCAAACAGG
rnacentral:rRNA from 1 species